UACAGAGGGUGCAAGCGUUAAUCGGAAUUACUGGGCGUAAAGCGUGCGCAGGCGGUUUUGUAAGCCAGAUGUGAAAUCCCCGGGCUUAACCUGGGAAUGGCAUUUGGGACUGCAAGGCUUGAGUGCGGCAGAGGAGACUGGAAUUCCCGGUGUAGCAGUGAAAUGCGUAGAUAUCGGGAGGAAUACCGAUGGCGAAGGCAGGUCUCUGGGCUGACACUGACGCUCAUGCACGAAAGCGUGGGGAGCAAACAGG
rnacentral:rRNA from 1 species